rnacentral:rRNA from 1 species
CGGGACGGGGUGGAGUAAUGUCUGGGAAACUGCCUGAUGGAGGGGGGUAACUACUGGAAACGGUAGCUAAUACCGCAUAACGUCGCAAGACCAAGAGGGGACCUUCGGGCCUCUUGCCAUCGGAUGUGCCCAGAUGGGAUUAGCUAGUAGGUGGGGUAACGGCUCACCUAGGCGACGAUCCCUAGCUGGUCUGAGAGGAUGACCAGCCACACUGGAACUGAGACACGGUCCAG